rnacentral:snoRNA from 1 species
CGUCCCGUUAUAGUACCUUCCACUCCCGUCUCGUUGAAUGGAAGGCUAUGCUAAUGGGAUAGAAAAACAUAGUCAUGGUCUGAGGGUGUGGUUAACCUUUUUGUGUGCCCACUAAAUAAAUUGACAAGACAUGUUCGG